rnacentral:rRNA from 1 species
GACGAACGCUGGCGGCGUGCUUAACACAUGCAAGUCGAACGGAAAGGCCCUGCUUUUGUGGGGUGCUCGAGUGGCGAACGGGUGAGUAACACGUGAGUAACCUGCCCUUGACUUUGGGAUAACUUCAGGAAACUGGGGCUAAUACCGGCUAGGAGCUCCUGCUGCAUGGUGGGGGUUGGAAAGUUUCGGCGGUUGGGGACGGACUCGCGGCUUAUCAGCUUGUUGGUGGGGUAGUGGCUUACCAAGGCUUUGACGGGUAGCCUGCCUGGGAGGGUGACCGGCGUCAUUGGGACUGAGAUACGGCCCAGACUCCGACGGGAGGCAGCAGUGGGGAAUAUUGCACAAUGGGCGGAAGCCUGAUGCAGCAACGCCGCGUGCGGGAUGAAGGCCUUCGGGUUGUAAACCGCUUUCGCCUGUGACGAAGCGUGAGUGACGGUAAUGGGUAAAGAAGCACCGGCUAACUACGUG